UAUGACCACAUCAAGUUGAAGCAACAGUUCUCAUAUGAUCACCAAAGUUAAGCAGCAUUCAGCCUGGUCAGUACUUAGAUGGGUGACCACUUGGGAAUACCAGGU